AACGGCCAUACCGUGGUGAAUAUACCGGUUCUCGUUAGAUCACCGAAGUCAAGCAUCAUUGGGCCCAGUCAGUACUUGGGUGGCUGGGAACAGCGCGUGCCGUU